rnacentral:lncRNA from 1 species
UGGAGCACGGUAGGGACUUCACAGAAGGAGCUGGCAGAGCCCACUGUGGGCUUGGUCCCUGCACACGGCAUGAGUGUGACAGGGCACAGCUCUGGGACAGGUCACCUGGAUGGUGCGCAGGGAUGAAGGUCGAGAGGAAGGUCACCAGACUGACUGGUGGCUCAGGUGGAGGAGAUGUAGGUUUGGGAUGAGUCACUGGGAAUUGCUUUAGCUUAUCAAACAUUGCUGAACUAAGCUCAUCUUCUAACACCUUUCUCCUUGGAGGAGAGAAGGCUGUGGAGAGACCUCACUGUGGCCUUCCAAUACUUGAAGGGAGCUUAUAAACAGGAGGGGGAAUGGCUGUUUAUGAGAGUGGAUAGUGAUAGGACAAGGGGGAAUGGUCUUAAACUGAGACAGGGGAGGUUUAGGUUGGAUAUUAGGAGGAAGUUUCUCACUCAGAGGGUGGUGACACACUGGCACAGGUUGCCCAGGGAGGUUGUGGAUGCCCCAUCCCUGGAGGCAUUCAAGGCCAGGCUGGAUGUGGCUCUGGGCAGCCUGGUCUGCUGGUUGGCGACCCUGCACAUAGCAGGGGGUUGGAACUGGAUGAUGAUUGUGGUCCUUUUCAACCCAGGCCAUUCUAUGAUUCUGUGAUUCUAUAAUAUUUGGAUGCAUUACAAACUCUGCAUGGAGAGCUCUCUGUGCACAUUGCGUGUUCAUUUCUA